rfam:Gossypium raimondii Chr04_contig_37, whole genome shotgun sequence.
GGCCUGUGAUGUAAGAAAAUAUUUGCUACUCUUGAUAGUGGUUUAAACCAUUAUCUGAUGAUUAUUUCCACCAAGAUCUCUGAGGCC